rnacentral:tRNA from 1 species
GACCACGUAGCUCAGUCGGCAGAGAAUUGGACUAGUAUUCCAAAGGUCGUAGCUUCGAUUCCCACCUUGGCCA